rnacentral:rRNA from 1 species
UACGUAGGGGGCAAGCGUUGUCCGGAAUCAUUGGGCGUAAAGCGCGUGUAGGCGGCCCGGUAAGUCCGCUGUGAAAGUCGGGGGCUCAACCCUCGAAUGCCGGUGGAUACUGUCGGGCUAGAGUGCGGAAGAGGCGAGUGGAAUUCCUGGUGUAGCGGUGAAAUACGCAGAUAUCAGGAGGAACACCAAUUGCGAAGGCAGCUCGCUGGGACGUGACUGACGCUGAGACGCGAAAGCGUGGGGAGCAAACAGG